AUGAACGCUGGCGGCGUGCCUAAUACAUGCAAGUCGAGCGAACGGACGAGAAGCUUGCUUCUCUGAUGUUAGCGGCGGACGGGUGAGUAACACGUGGAUAACCUACCUAUAAGACUGGGAUAACUUCGGGAAACCGGAGCUAAUACCGGAUAAUAUUUUGAACCGCAUGGUUCAAAAGUGAAAGACGGUCUUGCUGUCACUUAUAGAUGGAUCCGCGCUGCAUUAGCUAGUUGGUAAGGUAACGGCUUACCAAGGCAACGAUGCAUAGCCGACCUGAGAGGGUGAUCGGCCACCCUUGAACUGAGACACGGUCCAGACCCCUACGGGAGGCAGCAGUAGGGAAUCUUCCGCAAUGGGCGAAAGCCUGACGGAGCAACGCCGCGUGAGUGAUGAAGGUCUUCGGAUCGUAAAACUCUGUUAUUAGGGAAGAACAUAUGUGUAAGUAACUGUGCACAUCUUGACGGUACCUAAUCAGAAAGCCACGGCUAACUACGUG
rnacentral:rRNA from 1 species